rnacentral:ncRNA from 2 species
UACGGAAGGUCCGGGCGUUAUCCGGAUUUAUUGGGUUUAAAGGGAGCGCAGGCCGGAAGCAAAGCGUGCCGUGAAAUGUAGAUGCUCAACAUCUGAAUUGCGGCGCGAACUGGUUUUCUUGAGUGCAUACGAGGUAGGCGGAAUUUGUGGUGUAGCGGUGAAAUGCUUAGAUAUCACGAAGAACUCCGAUUGCGAAGGCAGCCUACCAGGAUGUAACUGACGCUAAAGCUCGAAAGUGCGGGUAUCGAACAGG